rnacentral:misc_RNA from 1 species
CUUGGAAUCAAAAAGGGUUAUGUAAUGGUAUAUUGGAGCGCCAUUUUCAUUGUACUGCUUUACAUUACGAGUUUUUUUGGAUCACGGAUAUAACAAUCAUAAUGGUUAUUAAUAAAUGAUCAUAACAGUUUCCAUUGUAUUAUACACAUUCAGCUAGUAGCUCAAGCAUAGUUUUUUCUUUAAAGGGUUUUUUAAGUAUUUCCAUGGAUAUAAGCUCAAAUCCCACGAACAACACAUUUCUGAUUUUAUUUUUAGUUUUUAUAAAUUGACUAGACCUGAUCUGAACCUUCUGAUGCUUAAAUCAACCUUUUGGGUACCUCUACAAAUUACAAAGUCCUUUCCAGAAACAGAACUAGAAAUCACUCCCCUUUUUUUAAUAAAGUAAGAGCGUUAAACAUCUUUGGAGGUUUUACCAGUGUAGUCUUUUUUGCUGGUCCGGUAUUUUAAUUGGACUUAAUCUGCAUUUGAAUUAGUCACAUACCAGUCAAUUCCUAUUGAAUUGGUUGUUUUAAGGAAAUGGUAAACUAUCUGUCUGGUUCACUGAUUGAG